AUUGUUGUUUUAUUUUGUUUGCUAUAAAGAUUAGCCUCUUGUUCAAUGGAAAAUAUGAUCAAAAACAGUGUUCAAAAAUUAUUUAAGGGCCCCAUCACUACAGCAAUCAUUAGUCCUACUGUGUAUGAAAUUUCUAAGUAUUUCUAAAUGCUCAACCCUAGACAUGCCCUUCACUGAUAUUUUUAAUGUGCUUUCAGUACCUUGGCCAUUUAAUAACUUAUGUUCUUUUUUCAAAAUCUUAGGAAGAAAUUGUGUUUUGGAAUUGGGCCAACAGUAUGUGUUUCUCCGGUGGAUAAGCAAAAUUUCAUAAGAACAAAGAUGAUUCAAGCAGAUGUUUAUCAUGAAACUGCCAUAAAAAGCACCCGAAGUCACAAAGAUAAACAUCAAAUCCAGUCCUUGGAAAUUUCCCCCACCCUACCUGAGCAUCUUUUGAAGUAGAUAUUCAAUUAUUUUGAAGGAUUUUUAAAGAAUUUUCUAGAUUUCAUCUAAAAGACACUUUUGAAAUCUGCGUUAAAAUUCAUGGAAAUAUAUCCUAGAUGAAUUUGGAGGAAUGUAAGCAAGUAGGUACAAACCUUUAUUUUAUCCCUCAGUGACUCACUCAGUUGUGAAUAGGAAGGGCUCUCUGUGAUCUGGCCACAGCUUAUUUCUUGCCACAUUCCUAUUUUCAGUCCUCUUCCAAUCAUGUGGAACUUCCAGCAUCUCCUUACACAUGCCAUGUUAUUUCACACUUUUGUGACUUUGCUCAUAUUUUUCUCUCUCCCUGGAAAGCUCCCCGACAACCUCCACUGCCAUUACCCACUAGGCAAGUACAUCCUGUUUUCAGAAUCAGCCCAAUAUCAUCUUUCCUAGGGAAUCUUGUCAGACUGCCCUUCAUUACCAACAGACAAAAUAACUACCUUAUCUUUGGUUCUGUCUUCACUCUAGACCUAUGUAGCAUGCUACUUAUAACACUGCAUUGGUUUGUUGGCAUUUGUAUUUUCCACUGAGCAACCAUAACUUAUGUGUAGACAAAAAUUGUAUUGCUCACCUUUGGAUUACUAGGACCUAGCAGUGUUCUGAUUCAGAGUAUGUACUCAAUAAAUUCAUCUUGAAAAGUGAAUGAAUGAAUAAAUGAACGCCUGCAUCUCCAUCAUUGAUUUACUAUUUAAUCAGUGAAGUUUUUAAAUUAUAUUCCCCCAUAUCUUGAGAUUUGAUCUUGUGUUAAAUCAGUUGCACAUAUUAGACAUUACUUUGUCCUUUUCACUUCUCCUUAGCACAUAUGGGCUAUAUAAUCUUUAUAAAGGUUAAAGAAAUAUAUUGUAAUAUGUUAUAACACAAUCAAGAUACAUCUGAAACAACAUAGUGCAGGCACUAUUUCCGAUGUUCAACAUCAUGCUGGAGUAAAACUUAGAGACUCUUGGAAAAAAGAAAUACUUAAAUAAUGUCACCAGUGUAAUGUGCUACAUUGUAAUGGUGUUAUGCUUAUUACAUGUGUUAUCUAGUAAUGCACAAAAAGCCUAAUGGAUUUGCUCAUAUUUUCCUCAUGUGCAAAUGAAAACACUGAGUCUCAGAGAGAUUAAAUAAAUUGCCAAAUGUCAUGUCAAGCGAUUUUGAUCCUGGUAUUUCUAAUAUAAAAGCCCAUGUUUUAAUUUAUUAACUGUUUGACAUAUAACAAUAAUAGAUCAUUACAUGUUAAUAUAAAUAACCUAUGUAUGAAGACUAAUUAUAUUUUUACUUCUGCAUUCAAUCAACUGCAACAUGUCAUUUUGGUUGAUGUGUACAGAAAAUACUCAACAUCUCGCAGAUAUUGGGUUGGAAAACAGAGGACAUUUUUAUAUCUGUUUCAGAUAAAUGUAUAUAUUUUUCUUUGAUAGUACACCAAAAUUUGACAAGUGACUAUUUCUUAAAGGGUAGUUGCAGCAUGAAAUCCAAAAUAACAUCAAUAAACUUUUCAUUCUCUGUUACACUAAAA
rnacentral:lncRNA from 10 species